AAGUAUAAAUGGAAAAAAAAGAUGCGCCCUCUGUCACUGAGGGUUGACUGACUGGAGAGCUCAAGUGCAGCAAAGAGAAGUGUCAGAGCAUGAGCGCCAAGUCCAGAACCAUAGGGAUUAUUGGAGCUCCUUUCUCAAAGGGACAGAGUGUGAUGUGAAGGAUUAUGGGGACCUGCCCUUUGCUGACAUCCCUAAUGACAGUCCCUUUCAAAUUGUGAAGAAUCCAAGGUCUGUGGGAAAAGCAAGCGAGCAGCUGGCUGGCAAGGUGGCAGAAGUCAAGAAGAACGGAAGAAUCAGCCUGGUGCUGGGCGGAGACCACAGGUCUUGUUGAAUAACUGUGUCUAUGGGAAUCUGGCACAAAGGAAGUAACCAAGGCCAUAAGAAGAGAGAAAAUUUAGAAAUAUAGACAGAAAAGCAUUGACCUAUAUUUUAUAUCAAAUUUUCUGCCUUUAAAAAAAUUUUAUAGGUUACUUUUAUU
rnacentral:lncRNA from 1 species